GAUGGAGAACGCAGCGAAAUGCGAUACUUGGUGUGAAUUGCAGAAUCCCGUGAACCAUCGAGUCUUUGAACGCAAGUUGCGCCUCAAGCCAUUAGGUUGAGGGCACGUCUGCCUGGGCGUCACAUAUCGUUGCCUGAUGCCAGUUUCCUCGUGAUGGGUGACUGUGCAGGGCGAAUGAUGGCUUCCCGUGAGCAUUGUUGCCUCAUGGUUGGUUGAAAAUUGAGUCCUUGGUAGGGAGCGCCGUGAUAGAUGGUGGUUGAGUGACGAACGAGACCCAAUCAUGUGAGACCCCUACCGAAUUUGGCCUUCAUGACCCACAUGCGUCUUUGGAACGCUCAUGACGAGACCUCAGGUCAGGCGGGGCUACCCGCUGAGUUUAAGCAUAUCAAUAAGCGGAGGA
rnacentral:misc_RNA from 1 species